AGAACGAACGCUGGCGGCAUGCCUAAUACAUGCAAGUCGAACGAACUCUUCGGAGUUAGUGGCGCACGGGUGCGUAACGCGUGGGAAUCUGCCCCUUGGUUCGGAAUAACAGUUGGAAACGACUGCUAAUACCGGAUGAUGACGAAAGUCCAAAGAUUUAUCGCCAAGGGAUGAGCCCGCGUAGGAUUAGCUAGUUGGUGAGGUAAAGGCUCACCAAGGCAACGAUCCUUAGCUGGUCUGAGAGGAUGAUCAGCCACACUGGGACUGAGACACGGCCCAGACUCCUACGGGAGCAGCAGUAGGGAAUAUUGGACAAUGGGCGAAAGCCUGAUCCAGCAAUGCCGCGUGAGUGAUGAAGGCCUUAGGUUGUAAAGCUCUUUUACCGAGAUGAUAAUGACAGUAUCGGAGAAUAAGCCCCGGCUAACUCCGUGCCAGCAGCCGC
rnacentral:rRNA from 1 species